GUCCCUGUAGUGCAUUGGAUAGCACGUUGGACAUAUAAUCCAAAGGUUGUGGUUUCGAAUUCUACCUAGGAUG